GUUGAGCGCUGAAGGUUGGUACUUGUACCGACUGGAUGAGCAGCGAACGGGCGAUUAACGCGUGGGGAAUCUGCCUUUGAGCGGGGGACAACAUUUCGAAACGAAUGCUAAUACCGCAUAACAACUUUAAACACAAGUUUUAAGUUUGAAAGAUGCAAUUGCAUCACUCAAAAAUGAUCCCGCGUUGUAUUAGCUAGUUGGUGAGGUAAAGGCUCACACCAAGGCGAUGAUACAUAGCCGACCUGAGAGGGUGAUCGGCCACAUUGGGACUGAGACACGGCCCAAACUCCUACGGGAGGCAGCAGUAGGGAAUCUUCGGCAAUGGACGAAAGUCUGACCGAGCAACGCCGCGUGAGUGAAGAAGGUUUUCGGAUCGUAAAACUCUGUUGGUAGAGAAGAACGUUGGUGAGAGUGGAAAGCUCAUCAAGUGACGGUGACUACCCAGAAAGGGACGGCUAACUACGUGCCAGCAGCCGCGGUAAUACGUAGGUCCCGAGCGUUGUCCGGAUUUAUUGGGCGUAAAGCGAGCGCAGGUGGUUUAUUAAGUCUGGUGUAAAAGGCAGUGGCUCAACCAUUGUAUGCAUUGGAAACUGGUAGACUUGAGUGCAGGAGAAGAGAGUGGAAUUCCAUGUGUAGCGGUGAAAUGCGUAGAUAUAUGGAGGAACACCCGUGGCGAAAGCGGCUCUCUGGGCUGUAACUGACACUGAGGCUCGAAAGCGUGGGGAGCAAAAAAGAUUAAAUAACCUGGUAAUCCACGCCGUAACAACCAAGAGAGCUUAAUGUAAGGAGCUAUAUAUUCUCUGUAAUCCCAACUUACACAAUAAACACUCCCCCUGGGGGAGGACAACGCCAGGGUGAAAA
rnacentral:rRNA from 1 species